AUUGAACGCUGGCGGCAGGCCUAACACAUGCAAGUCGAACGAGUGGCGGACGGGUGAGUAAUGUCUGGGAAACUGCCUGAUGGAGGGGGAUAACUACUGGAAACGGUAGCUAAUACCGCAUACCAUCGGAUGUGCCCAGAUGGGAUUAGCUAGUUGGUGGGGUAAAGGCUCACCUAGGCGACGAUCCCUAGCUGGUCUGAGAGGAUGACCAGCCAAAAUGGAACUGGGACACGGUCCAGAACCCUACGGGAGGCAGCAGUGGGGAAUAUUGCACAAUGGGCGCAAGGCUGAUGCAGCCAUGCCGGGUGUAUGAAGAAGGCCUUCGGGUUGUAAAGGUCUUUCAGCGGGGAGGCGUUACCCGCAGAAGAAGCACCGGCUAACUCCGUGCCAGCAGCCGGGGUAAUAC
rnacentral:rRNA from 1 species